GAUGAAGAACGUAGCGAAAUGCGAUAAGUAAUGUGAAUUGCAGAAUUCAGUGAAUCAUCGAAUCUUUGAACGCACAUUGCGCCCGGGAGCAUUCUCCCGGGCAUGCCUGUUCGAGCGUCAUUACAACCCUCAGGCCCCCGGGCCUGGCGUUGGGGAUCGGCGGAGCCCCCCGUGGGCACACGCCGUCCCCCAAAUACAGUGGCGGUCCCGCCGCAGCUUCCAUCGCGUAGUAGCUAACACCUCGCGACUGGAGAGCGGCGCGGCCACGCCGUAAAACACCCAACUCUUCUGAAGUUGACCUCGAAUCAGGUAGGAAUACCCGCUGAACUUAAGCAUAUCAAUAAGCGGAGGA
rnacentral:misc_RNA from 1 species